UAUCUGAUCGCCUGAGAGACACUAUACAAAUAUACGUUUCAGAUGAAGCACAAGCGCCUCAAAGAUUUUAGAUAAAGCACAAUAGUCUCAAAAAGUGAAUUUAGCUUUCAAAAUGUCAAGUAUAAUUACUAGACAUGCCUUCAGGUUGGGAGGGUCUGGCUUAAUCCAACUAAUACCAAGAGGAUUGAGAAAUUACGACCCAUUAUCCAAAACUUCAAGGGGGGGAGGAGUGAGUGACACACUCCGGAACCUGGCGGGGUUAGCAAAGCCGAGAAUCAUUAUUAGCGCCGAUGGGGCCGUGGUGAACAUCAAAACAGAAAGUUCUCUGAAGAACACGGAGAUCUCCUUCAAGCUGGGAGAACAAUUUGAUGAAACCACGGCAGACAACCGGAAAGUAAAAAGCAUCAUAACAUUACAUGGUGGCUCAAUGAUUCAUGUCCAAAAAUGGCUUGGCAAAAAGACAACAAUCAAGAGACAAAUUGUAGAUGGAAAAAUGGUAGUGGAAUAUACCAUAAAUAAUACCGUCAGCACUCGGAUUUAUGAAAAAGUGUGAAGAAAGUGUCUACAUCAGUGAAAGCCUGGUCACUAGCAGGAAACUGGAACUUGAAGAAGAUAUGCCUCAGGCAAUCUUCACAGCAUCUUCACCAGGAGUAAAUUGUAUCUCAAGAGACCGCUUUCUUUGCUCAUCCAUAAGAAGCAACUCCUCAUUCAUUAAAGCUUGAUCAUGAGAUGGCAGCCAUUCAGCCACAUCUUCAGGCUCCACUUCUAAUUCUAGUUCUCUUGCUAUUUCCACCACAUCUGCAGUUACUUCCUCCACUGAAGUCUUGAAUUCCUCAUUCAUGAAGGUUGGAAUCAAUUUCUUCCAAACUCCCAUUAAUGUUGAUAUUUUGACCUCUUCCCGUGAAUCACUAAUGUUCUUAAUGGCAUCUACAAUGGUGAAUCCUUUCCAGAAGGUUUUCAAUUUACUUUGCCCAGAUCCAUUGGAGGAAUCACUGUCAAUGGAAGCUACAGGCUUACAAAAUGUAUCUCUUAAAUAAUGUCUUAAAAUUCAAAAUUACUCCUUGAUCCAUGG